rnacentral:rRNA from 1 species
UACGUAGGGUGCGAGCGUUGUCCGGAAUUAUUGGGCGUAAAGAGCUCGUAGGUGGCGGGUCACGUCGGGUGUGAAAGCCCGGGGCUUAACUCCGGGUCUGCAUUCGAUACGGGUCUGCUGGGGUCCGGCAGGGGAGACUGGAAUUCCUGGUGUAGCGGUGAAAUGCGCAGAUAUCAGGAGGAACACCGGUGGCGAAGGCGGCUCACUGGACCAUAACUGACGCUGAUGCACGAAAGCUGGGGGAGCAAACAGG